UUCCCGAUCAAGCUACUCAUGUGGGGCAAUGAUAUUGAUUUUAGUUUUAAAUUUUAAUGUUCUAGAGAGCUGGAUGCAUCAAUUUUCUUGGUAUUUUUUACCAAGUCUUAUCAUGAAAGAUGGAUAGUGACAUGCUUUGCUUCUAGCUUUAGAAACCCACCCUAACCAUUAACCAAGCCAUCUCAAUAAUUAUCAUUGAGUGACGUCCUUUUUCAUGUUUCAAAGUAAUUCAUAUGAAAAAUCAGUCAAAGAAAAUAUAAAUUAUUUCAUUUGAUUAGGUAGGUGUUUUCAGGUUCAGUAGUUGAACAAUGGUUUCCAAAUUUUUAUAUCACAACAAAAUAGAAGACUUUGUUAAUUGGACAGGAAUUUCGGAAAGAAGCAAAACAACGCACGCUGUCUACGCGUUUCAAUUGGUCCUUCCUAAUAACUUGCUGCAUCAGAACAAACCUCAGCCCCCUUAUUCUCCAUAUUACAUAUUCAUCGAUCUUUUGUCAUUUCCUCUCUUGUAACACAACAAAAACUCAUCUGGGUACUUUCCGUUUUGGUCAAUGAUUCUGGCUCUUGUUGCUUGGUGAUUGAAGAAGGAUGAGGGAGGCUCAAAUUCGUAAAAUCAAAGGGAGGAAGAAGAAGAAAGGACUGAAAAGGUGUUGUUUGUGGCCUUGUUAUGCGGUUUGUUCAUUGGGUAAGGGGGUUGGCAGAUGCCUGUUUGUUAGUUGUUAUCCAGUGUUGCAGUGCUUUGGAUGUGAUGAUUGUAGACAUCAACACCACCACCACAGGCAUUUUCAUUAGUUUUUUUUUAUAUUUUCUUUCUAUAUUAUCAUUGACUUUAUAGAUAAUUGUUAUUUCAAGCUCUUGUUCCUCUCAGGAGAAAGGAGAGGAAACAUGUGAAAGUUACGUAAAGAAAGAAUCCAAUUUGUUAUUUUUGAAUUUUCUGCGGUGGGUUUGUGCUUCGCAUUUUACAAGUGUAUGCAGAAAAGCAAUUAGAACAUAGGUAAAGUGGGUUGAUAAUGGUGUGCUGUGAUUUGAUUUGAUAUGAUAUGAAGAGAUUGUUUGUAAUUAGCUUGUUUUCAGAAUCAAUCUUUUGUUCUGCCAAGAAAUGAAAAUCUAAUCUCCAGCCUGAUCUGAUUGAGGCAACUGAGGAAGAUAUGCAAAAUAACAUAUUUUUUUCAUAUAUUGUACUUGGUUAGGCAAUAUUUGGACGUGAUUUACAUAACAACCGAAUCUUUAUCAAAUUGUAACUUACUCAUACAAAGGCUGUACCGAUCACAGAAAUACUUGUGUAGAUAUCCAUUGUGAUUUAAGUACUUAAAAUAGUCAAUUCCACUA